rnacentral:sRNA from 1 species
GGCAGCUUCGCGCUAUGGCUGCUGCCGACCGCCAGGCGCUGCUACAGUGGAUGCGAACUACCGGGUAAUAGAUGAGAUACUCAAGUUCAGAGAGGUGUGGAAGUCAUUUGACAGAGCAGUCGGGCCCAAGUGGUUUCCUUAUGCCGAGUCAGCACGUCAUCCUUUUUCCUCAAAAAUAACAGCAACAACAUUCCUGCAGCUUGCCUCCGCAGCAUUAUAUCGUGCUGCAGAAACCAGCUCAACUAUGCAAAACUACCACCAGGAUUGGCCAACACCAGGAGGGAUUCCAGAGACCACACUGCAGGGAGCAUACAGAAAGAAAAUUAAGAGAUCAGAUGCAGCAACAGCCCGAACCCACAGUUCACCUUGGUGCAUUCCUUUAUGACGAAGACUUAUUGAUUCAUUAUAUGAGAAAGGAAAAAUGAGCAGGAACUACUAUAUGAUGUGCAGCUCACACCAGACAGCGCCUUUAGGAUUAUCUUUCCAGUUCAGCAGUGCAAGUCUAUGGAGUAGAAUUGAAAGGAGACUUUCGCCAGUUGCAGGAAAUGGUCAUAAAAAAAUACCUGUUCACUGACAGAAUAAAGGUAACUUUUAACUUA